rnacentral:tmRNA from 1 species
GGGGGCGCACCGGUUUCGACGGGAACGAAGAAGGAAGAGAUGCAUACCGAGGCCCAUGACCUCGUUAAAACGUGGAAAACAAUCAACUGCUGACUAUCAACCAGCACUAGCCGCAGCGUAAGCUGCGACUCGUCCUAAAUCGGCUUUCCUGCCGGCUGAUCCAAGGGCGUCACUUCAGACAGGAUAGCCUCAAGUCGCCGGCCCGGCGAGGCGAGGCGAAUUUCAAUGGGCUGGCGUUCCGGCUAGCUUGCAGGCUCCUUUAGGCCGGGACGCGACAAUACGGAACCUGACAAGUAUGUAGAUUCUCCGACGGAACGUUUUCGGACGCGGGUUCGAUUCCCGCCGCCUCCAUAG